rnacentral:rRNA from 1 species
UAGGGAAUAUUGCACAAUGGGCGCAAGCCUGAUGCAGCAACGCCGCGUGAACGAUGAAGGCCUUCGGGUCGUAAAGUUCUUUUUGAGGAGACGAGGAAGGACGGUAUCCUCAGAAUAAGGAUCGGCUAACUACGUGCCAGCAGCCGCGGUAAAACGUAGGAUCCGAGCGUUAUCCGAAUUCACUGGGCGUAAAGCGCGUGCAGGCGGUACAGCAAGUUGGAUGUAAAAUCUCCUGGCUCAACUGGGAGGGGACGUACAAAACUGCUGAACUAGAGGACGGCAGAGGAAGGUGGAAUUCCCGGUGUAGUGGUGAAAUGCGUAGAUAUCGGGAGGAACACCAGUGGCGAAGGCGGCCUUCUGGGCCGUACCUGACGCUCAGACGCGAAAGCUAGGGGAGCAAACGGG